AAUAUAGGCUAGUUAAUGCGAAUUGGAGGGACAUCUGUUUUAUUUUAAACUACUUGUAUUACAUUUUAUGAAUGAUUCUGUCAUUCAUUGGUACGUGCGUUUGAUUGCUUAAGAUAACAUAUAUUUCAUUUAUUUAUUUUUUCUGCCGAUGUUUUCACAUCAGCUUUUUAUUGCAUGCAUGUUAUUGUCCGGGUAGCAUAAUGUAAUGAAUCACUGUGAUGCUUUCGACUACUGGGGAAAAGGCACCAAAGUCACUGUCGGUGCUGAGCAGCCAUCUUACAUUUACCCCCUUCACCAAUGUGGGUCUGCAGACUCUCGUGGUGACAUCAGCCUCGGAUGCAUUGCCAGCGGUUUUUCACCCCUGGAUGCCUUGAGCUUUAAGUGGAGUGACAGUAACGGUAACGUGCUGCCUGACUUCCAUCAAUACUCACCGGUCAUGGUCAGUGGAAGCACCAUGAUGGUCAGUCACAUCAAUGUCAAAGCGGCAGACUGGAACAGUCAGAAAUCUUACACAUGUGCUGCACAUCACCAGAACCUUGGACCUGAGAAGUCAGAGAUAUUACAGAAGCCAGACUCAUCAAACAGAGGUACGAAGACGACUCCUUCAGUCUCCAUCCCAACACCAACUCCUGAAGACCUUAAUGGAAAAAGUAAAUUCUUCCUGCUCUGCCUGGUAACAGGCUUCUAUCCUGAGAAAAUAAAAGUCACGUGGCAAGUAGAUGGGGGGAAGUAUGAGGAUGGUAUUACUGGAGAGCCACUGGGGACUGGGGAUGAAUCCUCUGUCAUUAGUCAGUUUAAGGUCUCAAAAGAGGACUGGGACAAAGGCAACAUGUACAGCUGCAACGCCAGACAGGCAUCUCAGGAGGGAAGGCUAGUACCUUCAAUGAGAACUGUGUCCAAAUCAACGAGUAAUUCACUGGAAUGUCCUGUACGUGAAUGUUCUAUAUGAAUAAUAAUGGCUUAUUUGUAGAUGCCACUGCAUAGUCACUGUUAUCUCAUGUGACACAGGAAGGUCAGUGUAGUUUUACGUUAGACAUUCUAAUGCUGGUUAUAAACUUCAGCUUUUUCAGGAAGUCCACACUCAUAGUUUUCUUUCACACAGCAUGACAAACCCCUGCUUUGCUCACCUUCUGUAUUUUGCGUUUGGUCUUUUUCCCAUGUUGUCCUUUUUUGUUAUAGUAUGUGAAAAAUCAUUGUCUCAUGUUUAUAAAGCAAGAUUAGUGAAGUAUUAUUAGUAUUCAAAAAGAUCACUGUAAAGCAGACUAAUAAUGGAUGUAAUAUUAAUCUGAUUUUAAUUUUUCUUAACUUUUUGUUUAUAUUCUGAAAUGUAUCAAUCCAUACAUUAUACAACUUUGGAGUUUUAAAAUGCUAUAUGCUUUUUGAAAUUUGUAAGUUAAUAUUUUUGAUGAACAUCCUGAACAACUGAGACAAAAGUGAGCAGAUUUUGUCUGAUCUCUGUUAACAUUGUUUAUGGUUUCCUGUGAUGUCAUUCUGUCAUAUUUUAGUCACAUGUUCCUCCUCCUGAUGUUCACUGUGUCUGUCUCUGUCCAUAAUGAUGUCAUCAUUCGUCUGCUGCCAGUGUUACGGCUUAUUGUCUCAUUGCUCAGAGAUGCAAAUCUCAGAUGUCCUGAAGGUCCUCUUAAACCACCUCCUGUCACUGGAAUGCUGUGAAUCUCCUGUGUGGCAUUUAUAGAAACAUUAAUAAAAGUUACUGCAUAUGACAUUAGAGUCAGCCAUUAAUUCCAUUAAGCAGGAGGGGGGGGGUUGACAUUCAUUUCUCUCCAAUUUAACUCCAUGUUCUAUUUAUGUCUUUAAUGAGGAGAAAGUGCACUUAGACACAGCACAAGGCCACACAAUAAUGUGUCACUGUAAUUAUUCAUGCUUUUCAGGUUUACAUGACAGAGAUCAUUCUAGCGCUACUAUCAACCUAAACGUAAUAUAUAGAUAGCAUUUAAUGCUCCCAUGUCAGUAAUUUGUACCGUACAUGGUACACUCAAACCACACAUGUACCAAGGAAACAAUAGUAUAUAUGAAUUAUACCAUUGUCUCUCAUAUCAGUAUUUAAGUGCUACAUGCCAGCACAGUACAGCUGUCAGGUGACCAGGGCUGCUACUGUCAUUUCAUUCUGAAAUAUUUACCACUGCUGAUGAUUGGUUGUCAUCGUCUUUUUAAAUGUUCUGCUUUAAUGUCAAGCUUUCUGUUACAAACUAAUAUAUUUAUGCAAGUCAUCAAAUUAGCUUUGUUAAAUCAGAUUCACUGGCAACAUGAAUAUUAGCUACACUAUAACAUUACAGCAACAAUAACAAUGCUGUGUGACUGUGUGAGUGUCUCAGGGCUGCUGCUGUGUGUGUCAUGGUUUUGUGUGUCUAACUAACAGGGCCUGUUUGUUACAAAGAGACUGGUUAUGAAGAAGGUAAAACACGACUAAGGAUACAGCAGGCUGAAGGUCACUGGUAGAUAUAGGGAGUUUGUUUAGGUCUUACUCUGUAACUGUAUGAGUUGUGCUUGCAGUUCAUGACUGGGAUAGAGUGGAUAUGACACUGUGUGUGACUGUGUGUGUGUGUCUACAUGAGAAGUGUAAGAGGUGAAUCUCUGAGGCUGUGCAGAGUGUCUCUGUGUGCAUGUGUGCGCGUGUGUGUGUGUGUGUGUGUCUGUGUUUGUGUAUGUAUGUGUGUGUGUAUAUGUAUGCGUGUGUGUGUGUGUGUCUGUAAGGGUCAGACUGUGAUAUACUGUGUGGACAGUGAGAGGCUCUAC